rnacentral:lncRNA from 1 species
AUGAAUCUGCCCCGCUCGGGCAUUUCUUGUUGCUUGCGUUGUGUUUUUGCCGCCUGCGGGUCGCUGGUCGGAGGAAGGUGGCAGCGGCGCCCAUGGCCCGCCCUUGCCGUCCUCCCCAGGACGGGGAGAUCAGGCACGGACAGGGCAGGCAGAAACCCUGGCCAAGAAACCGAAAAGACCCAGAGGGGCUUGGGGAGAUCUCGGAGGGGAGCACGCGUGCGAGCCAGGUGCUUUAAAACAGCUUUAAAAAUGGUUACCGGCAGCUGGAGGUGUCCAUCAGGGAGGCCGUGGGCUGCUGGGUGUAACGAAGCCGCCGGUGAUGGCGACGCGUCGGCCCGGCCCUUGGCGGCCCUGCCCGGAGCAGCCGGAGGGGAAGCAGGCAGCCGCUGCCGAAACGCGAGGGGAAACGGGCUGAGGUGGAAACGGGGCCGCGGUGUCUUGGCGCCGUGCGGGAGGGAGGGGGCUCUUCCCUCCCAUCCCCUCCCCUCCUCGCGCCUCCGCUGGGCCCGGUGUCGGCGUCGCCCUCGGCGAGGCCAUCGCAUCGUGUCGCGUCGCCUCAGCGUGGUGCGGGAGCAGCCGUCGUCCCGCGGACGUGGGAUCCUGCGCCGUCGCGGGGGAGCUGUUUGGAAGAGUGCCGCUUGUGUCUUUUAUUUUCGUUAUUAUUAUUUAUCGUCGUGCGGAGUGAGGUCCGUGGUGAUGUUUCCACCGUGGGGAUCGCUCAACACCGUAUUUGAAAGGGAAAUGCUGUGGGGGGAAGUUGGGGCGAUAUGGCGCAGAGCGAGCACGCCACGAGCGGUCAGUGCACCGCUCUUAUUUAUUUAUUUUCUUAAUUUUUUUUUUUUUUCCUUUCUGAAUUUCCAUGAGUUCGAGAUGGCGAUGACUCAUGGCUUGGAACGCGCUUUAAAUCCCCGAGGUGCUCGUUGCCGCCUACCAUCACGUAUUGAAUUUCUGACAUACCGGAGGGAUGUCUGCAGAGAAACUCUGAUGUGCAAUUAUAAAACGUUGUAG